CCUUUGAGACUCCAGUGCCAAAGACGAGGGAGGCAUCACGAAAUACUUCCUAUGAGAUAGACGUUGGUGGGAAAAGGUUAGAAACUACAGAAAAGGGUAAAUAAGAACACGAAAAUGAACUUGCAAGGGCGCUGACGGGGGGUAAGCGCUAUGAACAUUUCACGUGUUUCCGGCCAGGGUUCCCACUAGGAAAUCCAAAGCGUCUCUCAAUAUUUGAAACGUGUUUCAUGCGGGGAACUGGCCGCCUGAUGGCAAAGGAGCAGUGCGAUACCGGGUAACAUUUAGAACCUCCAGUUAUACGUGGUCCUAGCUCCCGCCGGUGCCUCCCCUUGUCUGGGUCCAGUGAGGCCGGGAGCCGGAGAGACGAGUCGUGUGUUCCCGGCUCGGCCCCUGGGAUUCGAAGGGAAUGUGGCCCCGAGGGCAGACGCAGCGUGCACCUGCUCAGCGGACAGCCCGGUCCCCACACGACGCCCCUUCUGCGUUGUCUGAUCAUGUAACCCUCAGCAGUUGUGCAGCAUUCCGGAGUGUGAUAUUCUAGAAGGCCUUCUGGGACGAUGGUGAGGUACGGUUUGAGGGGUCUCGGGCACACAGCAGGUACGCAGCGAGUGGGUAUUUUAUGUUACCAUGGGCCGCGUGGGCACUCGUUCGGUACAGCUGGGCAGGAGGCUCCUGUCCUGGAAGGCUGGGGGCCGUCAGAUGGCUCGGGGACACGGGCCUGGGGUCCUCUGCGGCCUCAGGGAGGGGUGUCUUCAGCUUUGCCGAGCCCCCGGGGACACUGGUGAGCAGCGGGGGCUGCAGGGGCGCCUGUGGGGAGGCGGCGGGCAAGAGGCCGGAGCUGACAGACCGAGGUGACGAGCUGCGGUCCUGGGUAGUGACGGGCAGGAUGGGGAGGGACGCCAAGGCACGGGGGGAAGGACGCAGGUGGUGGAGAGGGAGGACCCGGGGCCGUCCUCGGCCCCAGUGAGAGCCGCGGGGUGGGGUGCUGGUAGUUUUAGCCACACUGGGUACGAUGUGCAAAUACCCACACUGUGCAGGCUGCCGGGAUAUGGGCUCAGAACAAAGUCGGGGGGCCGGGGGGCUCGGGGCCCCCACCACGGGGCCCACCUGGCAUUCAGGUGCUACCUGGAAAUGCGGGAAUCCGCCCUCUCGACUCGGAGACAGGGAGGGACGGGCCAGGCGGCUCCCUGCCCACCCUCCCCUGACCCCCUGAGGGGCCCUUUUCCCCGCAGACGCCCCGGGGGUCCCGCCCUCGGUACCCACCGCUGUGUCCUCCUCCUUUUUCCCAGCCCCUCCCCUUGCUUGGCGUCCCUGGGGUCCCUCAACGCCCGCACGUGGGCCCAGGCUCUGCUUGGGACAAGCAGGCAUGUGCAGCUGCUUCCGGCCGGCCUGCAGGGUCCUCACAGGAGGGACCCCGGUGCCCUUGAGGCCCCUGCAAGGACAGGGCCCCGCGAUGGCCGCGAGGAGGGAGCCGAAAACAGAAGAAAGACCAGAGACAAAUCGGCCGGCGGCAACGGUCUCCGUGUGGCUGGAUCCGCAGUGGCCCCGCGGAGCCCAGCUUCGAGCUGGCGGAUGUCACCACGUCUGACGUGGCUCAGCGUCCAGUGGCCGGGACGUUGGCCGGUUCAAGGCCGUUCUGGAACAGAAGGUGCUCAAAGCGGACCCUCGAGGUCUGAAUUAUCCGAGCGCGGGAGGGACGGCCGGCCCACCUGGCCUCGUUCGCACACAUUUUCUCCAGGUACCAAUUUCUGGGGUCCUGGCUUUGAGACCUCAGACAGGACGACAGCUCAGAAAGCCGGGGACCUGGCAGGCGGCUUCGUGGACAGAAACAGCUGUUUCCACACCGCGUGCCCCGAGGUUAGAGUCAGGAACUCCCCGCCUUUAACCUUGACCCCCCGAGAAGGUCGCCGACCGAGGGGUGUGCCGUGCCCGGGGAGGCCCAUUGGCGGAGAUCGCAUUCCCAGGUCAGUGACCUGCUGCCCCACCUAGAACAUGACCCACACAGAGAGACGGCUGGAUCGAGUUUCGACCCGAAUCGCUCUCGAGACAAAUCACACGAAGGCGUGAGCUCUCCUUCGUUGAACAUUCUUAUGGCCUCGGCUCUGGCAGGCGUGACUUUGUGCCCUGUUCGUGGUCACAGGCCGUGUUCCGUCUGCCCGGCGUGUUUUAUUGGCACGGAAGCACAAAAACGAACCAGGGAGCUCCCUCCCUGCCGCCAGCUCCCCCUCUCUCCCCCCUUCCUUCCCUGCCCUCCUCUCCUCUAUUAGCAAACGGGCCAUGCGGUGGCUUGAUUAUGUGUCCCCAAGGAUAUGUUGGGGUCCUGACUCUCCCAUGUCAGAACGUGACUCUGUUUAAAGACAGGGCGUUCACAGGGGUGCCUAGGUGGCUCAGUCGGUUAAGCGUCCGACUUCGGCUCAGGUCACGAUCUCACGGUCCGUGGGUUCGAGCCCCGCGUCGGGCUC